AAGUCGUAACAAGGUUUCCGUAGGUGAACCUGCGGAAGGAUCAUUACCAAAGCAGAGGAGCCCGGUCCCGCCGGGCCUCCCUUUCUUGCUUACCCUGUGCACCGUGACCCUUAUUUUAAACGCUUGUCGAGUGAUUGGAUGCAUACUACAAAAAUGAAAGGCA
rnacentral:misc_RNA from 1 species